CGCACCUCCUGUCUCCGGCUCCUGCCAUCGCUCACCUUUUGCUUCUCUCCCCGCUUCCGCCUCUGACUGGGACCCCCUUUUCCCGGCCGGUGCCCUGGCGGCUUCUCUCGGGAUCACCAGCUCCUCCGCGCCCCUGGGGCCUCCGCACCCUCGCGCUCCCACGGCCUUCCCUUCAGCUCUCUUGCCCGCCCCACGACUCAGGGGCCUCACCAGCCAGCCUCCACCCCUCAGCCGGCCUCCACGUGGGUGCUCAUGGGGGUCGAUGACCGGGAGCAGCAAGAAGGGGCAGAGGAGGGAAGGGGAGCAUAGGGUAAGAAGUGGGGAGUGGGGUGGCCUUGAUGCGCCCAGGCCUGACUUGGGUGAUGGUGGAAAUCAGUAGUCAGGAGUGAACGACUGGAAGAGCCCCAUUCUUCCCUACGCCCUUUAGGGGCCGGGCAGGGAGGACUGCCACAUUCGGGGUCAGGAGGUCCACGGAGUACCAGACGGACGUGAUGUCCUCAAGCUUUGCUGCUCUUCUGAGGGUCAGCCGGAAAGUAGGGUCCUUCCUGGGGAACCAGAGCGGGGCCAGUCCCCUCUAAGGAGGAAGGCAGAGCAAGCAAGACGAGCCAUUUUGUUUCUUGUGCGGAGCCAGCCUCCGUUGUCUCUCCUUCCUCUCCGCUCUCUUGCUUAUCCCUGCUUGGGCCUCAGCACGUGGAGCCUGCCAGACACCAGAUGCUCUGUGCUCAUGCAGAUUUCUGGGGGAAGAGGUUUCCUGACAAAGGGAGCAGCAAGGGCGACGGCCCUGAGAGCAUGUCUGGCAUGUUGCAGGAACGGUGAGGAGGCUGAUGCGGCCUGAGCACAGAGAGUAAGAAAAGAGACUAGGUGAUGGGUCGGAGAGGCAAGCGCAGCCAGACCGCGUAGGGACCAGUGAGUCCCAGGGAGGCCCAUGACUCACUGGAGGGUUUUGAGCGGGGGAAUGAAAUGAUCUGCCUUGUAUUUCUACAGAAAAUUCUUACUGUUCUGCUGAGACUAGACUGAGCAAACAAGUGCAGGAGCAGGGAGACCCGUUAGGAGCCUCUGGCCGCCACCGAUCAGAGAUGAUGGUGGCCUGGACCACUGACACGGCAGUGGAGGUGGUGACGACUAGUCACAUUCUGGUUAUACUUUGCAGAGAGAGCCAAGGAAUUUGCUGAUGGGCCAGAUGGAGGGUGUGAGAGAGAGAGAAUGGAGUCAGGGUGAGACCGGGGAUUUGGCCUGAGUGACUAGAACCAAGGAGUCACCACCAUGAACUGCCAUGGAGACAGCCUCUGGAGGAGCUGGCUUUGGGAGGGGUCAGUGUGGGAUAUGUUAGGUUUGAGAUGCUGAGUGGAGGUGUCUGGUAGGCAGAUGGAUACGCAGGGCUGGGGUUCAAUAGGGAGGGUCAGGCUGGAGACACAAAUUUGGGAGUCAUCACUGACACUGAACGAGAUGCCCUGAGGAGUGAACGCAGAUGGGAGAUAGAGGACAUCCAAUGACGAAGUCCAGGAUUUCAAUAUUUACAAGUUGUGGAAUUGCAAAAAAAAACAAAACAAAAAUCCGGCCCCCCCGCCCCCCGCCGAAAUCCUGAGACAGCACAGCAAGAAAGAUUUGGGGAUACAGGCCAUUCCUCACUGGCCUGUAUCCAGGUAGUCCCAGCGCACUCACUGGGUCGCGACUUUAUUCCCCUCCAAACUCCACACACCAGUCAGACAGGCCACCUGAUGCCACCCCUGCUCAAGGACCAAUGAGAGCUCCCAAAGCUCAGCAUCUGGUCUUAGAGCCAGGGAGAGAGAAUUGGGGUGAGAAAGGACUUGACCUCGGUUUGCCUUGACUGCUUUGCCAGUAGGGAAACUGAGGCCCUGAGGGACAGUGUUUCGUCUCAGGUCCCUGUGUCAGUGGGGGGCCAGGGCUCCUGAGACGUAGUUGAGCGCUCUCCUAUCACCCCACGCUGCCUUUUGGACCACUUCUCAACGAGAAGCAAAUGUUUACUGAGGCCCAAUUAUCCCUGCUCUGUGCAGAAUAGCAGUGGAGGACGCUGAGGGCCCCAGGAGAAACAGAUGAUGCAGUUUGUGCCCUCAAGAAGCUUGAACUAAGGAUCCCUGAAUAAUUUUCCUGUUCUUUUCCCAUCUCUUCACUUUCAUGCCUUAUGACUCCCCAACAUGAACUCUCUUCUUCCCCCACUUUAUGCCCUAGGUCUUUCCUUCCCUCCAACCCUGCUCCAACACUUUCUUCCAGAAGUGUCCCCAGAUCACCAUAGAUUACCCUAUCACCAGGUAGCUCGGGCCCCACACCUAAGGGUCCGUCAUCUUUAAUUCUCUUUCCCUCAUCUCUCAUACUCAGUCCAUAUGCAAGUUCUGUCAGCCUUAUCACCAAAUAUACCCCACAUCUGACCACAUCUCCCAGUCUUAGCCAGACACUCUUUGUCCCACCUGCACUGCUGACCACAGCAGCUCACUGACAGGCCUCCCUGCUUGUCCCCCUGCAGAUUCUCCACACAGCCGUCUCUCACCUACAGCCCCCACCCCAUCUCCUAAGUCUGUGUGCUGCUUACUAGUCCUGUGCCCUUCAAAACAGUCCCCCUGCCCAGUGUGACCUCUCUUCUCCCCUCUCAGCUCCUGGGGUAGAGGGUGUUGGAGGGCUAGGGCUGUCCUCCCCCUUCAGGAGAGCCCUUGAGGACCCCUGUUGUGGGAGGCCAUCUGCCUGCAGUUGGGAUGGGGGGUGUUGUAGUCAACGGAGAGGUCAAGAAGUAAGAUGGUGUGUGUCUCUGAAGUGGCCAGGAACAUUCAAGGAGUUUGUCUUAGACCCACUUUUCCUCAUUUCCAUCUUCUCUGUUUCUUCCUGUUCAGCAUUCUCCCUCGUUCUCAUAGCUCCUUCCCUUCUGUCUCACCAACUGACUCUCUUUCUUCGAAUUGGGGGAUGAGAAGGCUCCCUCAGGAACCCCAGGCUCUUGAGAGAUUCUCCUGUUGAAUGCACCCCUGUUCCUGACCCAGGGAGCUGGGCUGGAAUGACCAGAUGAGGAAACAUUGAUCUCAUCUUCUCCAGCUUGGGCGCCUGGCCUGGGUCUGAAUCACUCCCCAUUUUAUCCCCCGUGCCUAGCACAGCACUUUGCACCCAGUGGGUGCUUAUUAAAUAUUUAUUAAAAGGAUAAAGGAAUGACUGAAUUGAUGUCUUAGGCAUUCAGCUUCCCUGUUGGGCCCCUGGCCUGGCCUUUCUGGUGUUUUAAACGAGUGCUUUCAAACUUUAAUGUGUGCGCGAACCAUCUGGGGAUCUUGUUAAGCUGGAGAAUUGGAUUGACCAGAUCUAGGCUGGGGCCUGAAAGUUUGCAUUUCUAGCACGUUUCCAGGGAUGCUGAUGCUGCUGGUUCUCAGAUCACAUUUCGAGUAACAAGGCUGUAAGGGGAGGUGUCUCUCAGAUGGAAGGAACACCCCUCUAAAAUUAAAAAAGAGAAUGAUGAAGAUUGAGAAAGACUGGGAGAUAGAGAAAAAGGAGCCAAAGAAAGAAAGGAAGUCCACCACCACUGGUUUAAUGGCCCCAAAGCCUCUCGGAAGCCUGCAUCCCAACAGUGUCCAGAAGCCCAGGGGCACCGGCGGCAUCUCCCGGUCCCGCAUAGCCUCUGUCUCCUGGAGGCCCUGCCCCUGACUUGGAGUGGGGCUCUGGAGACAGCUGCCACCUUCGUGUCCCUGACUGUCUCCCACAGAAAAGAAAGCUGGGCAGAGAACAGGCUUGGGGUCUUUGUUCGAUUCCACAAACAUUACCCAGACUGCCUCUCAGUACUAGGCACACUGGGGAACAAGACCUGGGAGACCCAGCUUCAUGGGGAGGGAGACAACUUGCAUGAGCGAGAGAAGCUGAUUUGAAUUUGGCCUUGGAGGAUGAUGGGGGAGAGCUUUGUUGAGCAUCUGGGAGCCCCAGGAUGGAGAGGGUGGAGAGGGCACUCCGGGCCAAAUGGGCUGGAAGCACGUGGGUUCAGGGCAGGUUCCUUGAACCAUAAGGGGUCCAGCAGCAGCAGGGAGAGGGUGAGUGAUGGAGGAAGGAGCAGUUGCAGGGCUUCUUCUGGGUCUGCCCUGAGGGGGCUUUAAGUGCCCGUUUGUGGAAUCAGUACUUUGAUGUGAAUGCAGAUUUCUUCUAUAUGCAUCAGGGAACCAUGGAAGGGAGUUCCGUGAGAUGUGUAUAUUGGAAGCCGUGCUUCCAGGAAAGGCUUUGCCUUCUAUUGGUUUCCCUGGCCUACCGGGGAGGGACCCAUCUCUGUGUGUCCUCUUGUUAGUCUGUCUGCACUCACUGGAAGCUCCGUCAGACUUUGAAGGUGAGAGGGUGGUGCCUGGGUUUGGGAAGAGCUGGGGGUGGUCCCUCCCUUCCUCACCGUGGGAAUGAGCUAAUUUUGUGAUGUGGGAAGUUUUCUGAACUUCUGCCUUAACUCCAGGUUCUUUUAAACAGGAGCCCCCGAUGAGGACAGACUGUUUCAGGAAAGGGGGGGGGGAUAUCAGGUCAGUUUUUCAUGGCAGCUGAGCAAGUAACAGCAUGGCUGGUCCGUGCUGGUGAACACUUGGACCCACCCCCUCACCCAGGAAUGUGCUGUAGUCUCUUGUCUCAUCAACCACUCAAAACGCCCUCAGACUGUUUCAAGGCCUGGAGUGGGUGCCCCUGGGCAUGUCACCAGUGCCAUAUGCUUGGAGGCUUUCUUGCUUAGGAACCUCCCGCACUGGUCGGGCCAGGUGUCAGCCUUCCUAAGAACCAACUUGUAAGUUUCACAUGUAUGUAUUUCACACACAGGCAUAGAUAGGUGUAGGCCCCCCCCCUUUUUAAAGAUUUUAUUUAUUUGAGCGAGAGCGAGAGCACGAGCAGGAUGAAGGGCAGAGGGAGAAGCAGACUCGUUGCUGAGCACGGAGCCCGGGACUCCGGGAUCAUGACCUGACGGCUCAGGCAGGCACUUAACUGACUGAGCCACCCAGACGCCCCAUGGUGUGGGCCCUUUUUUGCUGGCUGCUGGGGAAGGGGAAGCAUUUUUGUGAUUGUGGGAGGGAGCCCCACCCCUGCACAUCUGGAGUUUUCCUUAACAGGGAUCCAGGUUUUUCCUCCCUGGAUGUCCCUGCCCUCUGUCACUUUCUAACUUAUGCUCCUUCCUCCCUCAGGCUGGAAAUUAUGCCAACAGGGAGGCGGAUUUUGUUUCCAUGGGGGGUGUUAUUUUCAUCUGAGUUAUUCUGGAUCCCCAGGCUGAUAUGCCACUGAGCAGAAGCAGCCAGGAGCAGCCAUCACCAGCAUCACAUGGAAGCUUCUUGGCAGCCCCAGAUUCCUCCAAAGGUCAUUUGGUGCCUUCUUUCUCUGCAUGAGAUCGGACCUAACCUAGCCUCAAGAGCGUACUCUAUGUGACAGUACUACUAACAGCCCGUGUCACCUCAGGUCCUCACCGCAGAAACUGCAAGGCAGCUACUAUUCUCAUCCACAUUUCACAUGCGAGGAAACUGAGGCACAGGGAAGGAAAGCUUAGUUCACUGUUUAGGAUGAAAAAUAGCCACCAGAUGGAGAAGGAAGGACCAUGAAGGAUGAUAAAGAAGACGCUGCCGGUGUGGCUGCAGACAAGGGCUCAGAAGGGGCACACCGACUCCGAGCAGUCGCCCUGCAGGGAGAGCCGCUCCAGCCAACGGGUGUCCCUCACUCCUCCUUCGGGAUUGUCCUCAGGGUGUGAGACUCAGUUUCUCCAUUGUCCUAUUGGUGACGGAUCUUUAUCCUUUGCUUUUGGGGGAUCAGUCAAAAAAUAAUUCAUAGGUAAUAAGGGUUGUCUUG